CUCUCUUCUUCUCGAUCUGUCUAUAGCCUUUUCUUAUCCAGAUCGAAAUUAGAUGCUAUGCCAGAUGGUCUUUGAGCUUAAAGCUGAGCAAAACAAAUCUCACCACAGAUCGGGUCUUUGAGCUUAAAGUUGGUUUCUUUUUUAUGAGUUUCAGAUCUGUGAUUUCAGGUAAAAUGGUAAUGUGAAAGGUACAUGACCAUUUUUAAGAACAGGGACAUGGCGAGCACGCCCAGCAUGCCAAGGAACACGGCGACCAUUAAUCCAUUCAAAACUGUAAUAUUUUCAGUGAAGAAUAUAAAGAAGGGGUUAUCUAAUUGCAAAAGCAAGCAGCUCAGUGCCCCACAAGUUUGAAUUCAGGUUCAACUUACAUAUUCAUAUUAGAACUUUCAUAUCUAAUAUUGUUUCUGGAUUAUAGAAGUAUAUUAUAGACUACAAAAAACCUUGAUCAAGGAGGAGGGUUUUGGUUCAUUGUAUAAGCUGGACAAGCUGCAGAGUCAUGUUCUGCGGUAUUCUGUUUUGAAGUUUGCUCCUCUCUUAGGUAAAAUCUAUCUUCAAUACUUAUAAUUUAGUGUUGCUUUUUAUCUCAGAAUUGAAGAAAAUACCAUUAUUUGGGAAAUAACAGCUAGCUAGUAUGUAAUAUAGUAAGAAGAGUUAAAGGGAGCUGCAUCUGUUUGAAAUGAGAUCAGUUUGAAAGAACUUUAAUGAAGUAACUAUAUAAUAGAGUUAGUUAAUUUCAACUAUCUAGAAUUUGUACAAGUAUUUUGUUUUUUUGACCUUGAUUAUGAUGACUUUCUUAUGUGUUAGUUACUUGUAGUGUUGCUGGAAACUGGAAGGUCACUGGACUUUACUAUGUUUUGGUAUGCUAAUGACUAAUUCUAUGUUGCUUACGAUAUCUGUUUUGCUGCUAGUUGUGUGAUUAUGUUGGUGGCAAGACUCAUACUAUGCAUUAGAGUCAUUAAGCUUUAUUGGUUAUGUAGCUAAUGUUCCAUUCCACGCUCAGAUGCAAUACAAGCUCAUCCAUGUGCUGCUUUCAUUUAUGCUGAAUAGGAUUUAUUGUUCAAGCUAAUAUCAUCCAUAAAGUACUACUUUUUGAUAAGUUUUUGGUGGUGGUAUAACUUUUGUUGUGGGUUGAUCAAUGUCAGAUUAUUACUAAACUUAAUUAUGAUAUAAAUUUUCUGGAUUCGUUUGUCGGCUAUGUAGUCAUCUCUUUUCAUUUUGCUGUAGGAGAAAAUGAAGAAGAGGAUGAAAGAUUUCAGGGCAAAGCUCGUUGAAGAGGCAUAUCAUUGGAUACUCAUCUUCAAUCAUACAAGUGACUUUGAGUGACAAGCUUCCAAUAAUAGUCGAGCAAAAUUAAAAUCUUUUUAGUGGAUGAUCUUUUCCAAAUUACAGGGGUGUAUUUUACUAGCAAAAACAAUGGCAUGCUUUGCACCAGGAUUGAUAAUGUUGAAGGCAUAGAUGACUUCCCAGGUGUCUUGGUAUGGAGGAUUUAAAUUGAUGCCUUGAUUUUCAUGGACCUCUACUUAGAGAGUAUCUUUUGUAUAUGUUAUUAAGGAACUAAACAUCUUCCAAGAUCUUUUGUUCUUGCAGUUGAGGAACUAUAUGUAAUAAUUAUUCUUCAUUUAAUAUAAGUCCAAAAGUGUUAUUGAUAA